rnacentral:rRNA from 2 species
CAGCUAACCACGGUAGGGUCAGCGACUGGGGUGAAGUCGUAACAAGGUAGCCGUAGGGGAACCUGCGGCUGGAUCACCUCCUUUCUAAGG